AGUCUGCAACCCGACUACAUGAAGCUGGAAUCGCUAGUAAUCGCGGAUCAGAAUGCCGCGGUGAAUACGUUCCCGGGUCUUGUACACACCGCCCGUCACACCAUGGGAGUCGGAAAUGCCCGAAGUCUGUGACCCAACCUUAGGGAGGGAGCAGCCGAAGGCAGGUCGGAUGACUGGGGUGAAGUCGUAACAAGGUAGC
rnacentral:rRNA from 1 species